AAAGCAUUACUAUUAGUAGUAGUAUGUCUAUACGCUUGGAAAUAUGAACAAAACUCUAUAUACCAUCCUAUAGUUCGGAUAGAAACUCUUGUUGUGUUCUUUUGAGGAAAUAAAUAUUCGGCGAUACAGAAAAUACUUGUAAACUUGUGAUCAACUCUUCCAUGAUCUGACAGACGAGCCGAUUCGCGAGACGAAAUGGACGCCUCAAACACUCUCGUUGUGAUGGUUCUCUUGGCCCUGCUGAGUACAGGACGGAGCUGCGAGUGGGGCGCCGGUCAGGAGCUGAGGAGGUUCGUGCGAGUGCGGGAGGACGCCGCCCUUGGAGACACGGUCCUCACCCUCAACGUGACGCAGCCGGAACUCCUGAC